GAUGAAGAACGUAGCGAAAUGCGAUAAGUAAUGUGAAUUGCAGAAUUCAGUGAAUCAUCGAAUCUUUGAACGCACAUUGCGCCCCUUGGUAUUCCGAGGGGCAUGCCUGUUCGAGCGUCAUUAUAACCCCUCAAGCUCAGCUUGGUGUUGGGCCUGCCGCACGGGCAGCCCUUAAAAUCAGUGGCGGUGCCAUCUGGCUCUAAGCGUAGUAAUUCUUCUCGCUAUAGAGUCCCGGUGGAUGCUUGCCAUUAACCCCCAAUUUUCUAUGGUUGACCUCGGAUCAGGUAGGGAUACCCGCUGAACUUAAGCAUAUCAAUAAGCGGAGGA
rnacentral:misc_RNA from 1 species